rnacentral:misc_RNA from 1 species
GACACCUCCAAGAUACACAACAAGAUACAGCGUGCGAAGUUCGAACACGGUAACGUUCACAAAAGAUAUAAAUAGUACUAAUUUAGGACCUAUUCGAUCGGAUGGAUGGAACAGGGAACAAUAGUACUAACAAUCUUGCCGAUGAUAAACACUUGUACUGGAUAACAGAAGCCAUGAAGCUAGCCAAGGAUGCCCUAGAACAGGGAGAGGUGCCUGUAGGGUGCAUGUUUGUGUACAGAGGCAAAGUUCUUGGAACGGGUGGAAAUGAAGUUAACAAGACUAAAAAUGCAACCAGACAUGCGGAAAUGAUUGGGAUGGAUCAGGUCUUGAAAUGGUGUCGGGUUCAAGGACUGGACCAAGCAUGUGUAUUUAGAGAAACUGUGCUAUAUGUUACAGUAGAACCAUGCAUAAUGUGUGCCGGUGCUCUUCGGCUUAUCCACAUUCCACUCAUUGUUUAUGGCUGCAGAAAUGAAAGGUUCGGUGGCUGUGGCUCAGUCUUACAUGUUGACUCUGACAGCAUUCCAUCUUAUGGUGCAUCUCUCAAAUGCAUCAGGGGCCUUCUUGCUGAUGAUGCUGUUGAACUGUUACGCCAAUUUUACAAGGGGCAAAACCCCAAUGCACCUAAUCCAAAGUUGAAAUCUGGCAGUCAAAUUGGAAACAGUGUUGGAAAUCCAGUGAUGAACUUGGAUGAAGAUUAGAAAUUCCAGGAUUAUAUAUUUCAGACUGCUGCAAAAAUUACUCCACUUAAAAGUGCUACAAGUAUUAACGAGGAGAUAGAAGAGGCAAAAGUGUCAACUAUAGUGCCGUUUGUUUUGGCCAUCUUGGGCACUCUUUUUUUGCCACCUAUUGGAUUGUUGGCCUUGCAUAGGGCAUAUAUGGCAUUGAAGGCAAAGGACCAGGGUGAAAUAGAAAUAGCACAGGACUAUGUGAAAAAGUCAACUGACUUGGGACUGUUUGCAUUCAUUGUUGGAAUAGGCAUUGUUGUGUGCUUCAUCAUACUAGCAGUAAGCACCUUCAAUGAACAGAACCCUGUUGUGGCACCAUAAUUUCCUUAUAAUGCUACAAAAUAGGCUGGUUUCUCCAAGAAUAGACUGGCUUCCAUAAGAACAAUCUCUGAAAUUUGUCAGCCAUUUUAGGGAUGAAAGUGAUAUUGAGCCAUCAAAAUGGUCAAACGGUAACCGUUUACUCCCCAUGUAAUCUAUGUGUGGUAUGAUUCAUAUUUGCUGACUGUAGACGUGUACCAUUAUACAUGUGGUAAUUUUAUAAUGCUUACCAUUAUUACCAAUGAAGAAACUGUAACUCAUACAUAUACAGUGGUUUUAGUAAAUAUUGUUUUGAAAGACUGAUAAGUAAAAGUAUCAGGAUAGAUGAGGCCUGAAAAGCUUCAUGUCAACGUUAUAACAUGGCCAUAUAACACCAAACUAGAACAUCUGCCUCAUUGUGUUAUUUAUAACUAUAAUCUUACAGCCAAUUUAGUAUUAGUUCGUCCAAAUUCACUCCUUGUUACUGAUGCUGGGCCAUAUGCUUGCUCUGCUGGUCACUUGUAUUAGAACAUACAGGAUGUUUCUUUGCUAAACCAUAGAUAUACACAACACAGUCACAGUCACAGUCUGUAAACCAAAUUCUAGAUGGGCUGCUGAUAAACAAUGGUUUGUAAGAUAAAUGUUCUUGAAAUUUUAAAACUAAUAUGAAUUUGGCAGCAAGGUUAUAUAUACUUCUAAAUGACAGGUGGUAGUUAUUCCAGCUUUGGCCAACAGUGCAGAUUACAUAACCAUAUUCUACACUGAAGCAGCUACAAGCUACAGGACAAAUACACGGCGUACAAGCCAAAGUAUGGGGCUAAAUUUUCAUGAACUCGCUGCAUAUACCUUCGUACAGUUUAUGCAAAAGUAUAUAAUAUUAUAUAUAUAUAAUAUAUCUUAUAAGUUGUUUCAUGAAAUUAAUGUAUUAUUGAAAAUGUAUGUAUAGUGACUAGUAUACUUGUUGGCUGAUGCUUAUUGUUAAUGUACGAGAUGUAUACGACUUUACAGUUUAUGACAAAAAUAUUUUUGCAACAUUGCUUGUUAAAAAAUUU